AUGUUGGUACAACCCUUAUGCCAAGCUCCUUUGCAAGAGGCUACAAUUGACAAGACAAGCACCAAGAAGCUUACCAUGAUAUAUUCAAACAAAAUACAAGAUACACAUGAGAUAGCAAGAUGGUUCCAGUUUCUAACAUACCCUGUUGUCUUGAUUGCAAUCGAGCUUGAGGAAUACGACGUCGUGGUCCUUCUCAGACAUCUCCUGGAAUUUUGGUGCCAUAACUUUGCAAGGGCCGCACCUGCAGACAAGGAAAUUUCAUCACUGUGCUGCGGGAUGACAUCUGAUCUGGAUUAUAACAAUAUACAUGCAUCUCUAAAUAAUCUGGUCUAG
rnacentral:rRNA from 1 species